UCCUUUCAGAAAGAGUGUGUGGAAUAAAAAUAAAAAGUAUGGCGGUCUUUAAUCUUGUCAGAGGGACAUGCAUAAUAAUAAAACGAAUUUGCACGAUGAUCUGUCCUACUUUUGAAUAAUUCAUCAUGUACACCGCUGUCUGAAAGAAAUUACAAGAGUAUUUUCUUUCUUCUCUUGAGGGAAUAAGGCAAGUUUAGGUGCAGAUAAUGGGUGGGGUUGUGUGUGUUCCAAUAAAAAUUAUAGAUUAAUAAAUGGAAAUAAUUAAAAAAGAGAAUUUGAUAGUAAGGUUAGCUAUAUUAACUGUUCUGAAGAUGAGCUAUAAAAGGUGU
rnacentral:rRNA from 2 species